rnacentral:rRNA from 1 species
AAGGGGUGACGGCGUACCUUUUGUAUAAUGGGUCAGCGACUUACGUUCAGUAGCAAGCUUAACCGUAUAGGGCAGGCGUAGCGAAAGCGAGUCCGAAUAGGGCGUUCAGUUGCUGGGCGUAGACCCGAAACCAGGUGAUCUAUCCAUGGCCAGGAUGAAGGUGCGGUAACACGUACUGGAGGUCCGAACCCACUAACGUUGAAAAGUUAGGGGAUGAGCUGUGGAUAGGGGUGAAAGGCUAAACAAACCUGGAAAUAGCUGGUUCUCUCCGAAAACUAUUUAGGUAGUGCCUCGUGUCUCACCUUCGGGGGUAGAGCACUGUCAUGGUUGGGGGGUCUAUUGCAGAUUACCCCGCCAUAGCAAACUCCGAAUACCGAAGAGUGCAAUCACGGGAGACAGACAUCGGGUGCUAACGUCCGGUGUCAAGAGGGAAACAACCCAGACCGCCAGCUAAGGUCCCCAAAUAUAGCUAAGUGGGAAACGAAGUGGGAAGGCUAAAACAGUCAGGAGGUUGGCUUAGAAGCAGCCACCCUUUAAAGAAAGCGUAAUAGCUCACUGAUCGAGUCGUCCUGCGCGGAAGAUGUAACGGGGCUAAGCUAUAUACCGAAGCUGCGGAUGCGUGCUUAGCACGCAUGGUAGGAGAGCGUUCCGUAAGCCUGCGAAGGUGCCUUGUAAAGGGUGCUGGAGGUAUCGGAAGUGCGAAUGCUGACAUGAGUAGCGAUAAAGGGGGUGAAAGGCCCCCUCGCCGUAAGCCCAAGGUUUCCUACGCAACGUUCAUCGGCGUAGGGUGAGUCGGCCCCUAAGGCGAGGCAGAAAUGCGUAGCUGAUGGGAAGCAGGUCAAUAUUCCUGCACCAUUGUUAGAUGCGAUGGGGGGACGGAUCGCGGAAGGUUGUCCGGGUGUUGGAAGUCCCGGUCGCUGCAUUGGAGAAGGCGCUUAGGCAAAUCCGGGCGCGUAAUUCAAGGGUGUGGCGCGAGCUCCCUAGGGAGCGAAGCAAUUGGAAGUGGUUCCAAGAAAAGCCUCUAAGCUUCAGUCUAACGAUGACCGUACCGCAAACCGACACAGGUGGGCGAGAUGAGUAUUCUAAGGCGCUUGAGAGAACUCGGGAGAAGGAACUCGGCAAAUUGGUACCGUAACUUCGGGAUAAGGUACGCCCUUGUAGCUUGACUGGCCUGCGCCAGGAGGGUGAAGGGGUUGCAAUAAACUGGUGGCUGCGACUGUUUAAUAAAAACACAGCACUCUGCAAACACGAAAGUGGACGUAUAGGGUGUGACGCCUGCCCGGUGCCGGAAGAUUAAAUGAUGGGGUGCAAGCUCUUGAUUGAAGUCCCGGUAAACGGCGGCCGUAACUAUAACGGUCCUAAGGUAGCGAAAUUCCUUGUCGGGUAAGUUCCGACCUGCACGAAUGGCGUAACGAUGGCCACACUGUCUCCUCCCGAGACUCAGCGAAGUUGAAGUGUUUGUGAUGAUGCAAUCUACCCGCGGCUAGACGGAAAGACCCCAUGAACCUUUACUGUAGCUUUGCAUUGGACUUUGAACCGAUCUGUGUAGGAUAGGUGGGAGGCUAUGAAACCGGAACGCUAGUUUCGGUGGAGCCGUCCUUGAAAUACCACCCUGGUUUGUUUGAGGUUCUAACCUUGGCCCGUGAUCCGGGUCGGGGACAGUGCAUGGUAGGCAGUUUGACUGGGGCGGUCUCCUCCCAAAGCGUAACGGAGGAGUACGAAGGUACGCUAGGUACGGUCGGAAAUCGUGCUGAUAGUGCAAUGGCAUAAGCGUGCUUAACUGCGAGACCGACAAGUCGAGCAGGUGCGAAAGCAGGUCAUAGUGAUCCGGUGGUUCUGUAUGGAAGGGCCAUCGCUCAACGGAUAAAAGGUACUCUGGGGAUAACAGGCUGAUACCGCCCAAGAGUUCAUAUCGACGGCGGUGUUUGGCACCUCGAUGUCGGCUCAUCUCAUCCUGGGGCUGUAGCCGGUCCCAAGGGUAUGGCUGUUCGCCAUUUAAAGAGGUACGUGAGCUGGGUUUAAAACGUCGUGAGACAGUUUGGUCCCUAUCUGCCGUGGGCGUUGGAUAUUUGAAGGGGGCUGCUCCUAGUACGAGAGGACCGGAGUGGACGAACCUCUGGUGUACCGGUUGUCACGCCAGUGGCAUCGCCGGGUAGCUAUGUUCGGAAGAGAUAACCGCUGAAAGCAUCUAAGCGGGAAACUCGCCUUAAGAUGAGAUAUCCCUGG